rnacentral:rRNA from 1 species
GACGAACGCUGGCGGCGUGCUUAACACAUGCAAGUCGAACGGAAAGGCCCUGCUUUUGUGGGGUGCUCGAGUGGCGAACGGGUGAGUAACACGUGAGUAACCUGCCCUUGACUUUGGGAUAACUUCAGGAAACUGGGGCUAAUACCGGAUAGGAGCUCCUGCUGCAUGGUGGGGGUUGGAAAGUUUCGGCGGUUGGGGAUGGACUCGCGGCUUAUCAGCUUGUUGGUGGGGUAGUGGCUUACCAAGGCUUUGACGGGUAGCCGGCCUGAGAGGGUGACCGGCCACAUUGGGCCUGAGAUACGGCCCAGACUCCUACGGGAGGCAGCAGUGGGGAAUCUUGCACAAUGGGCGGAAGCCUGAUGCAGAAACGCCGCGUGCGGGAUGACGGCCUUCGGGUUGUAAACCGCUUUCGCCUGUGACGAAGCGUGAGUGACGGUAAUGGGUAAAGAAGCACCGGCUAACUACGUG